UGGCUAUGAGGAUAACAUUUUGAAAUGAAAAAAAUGCUGAUUUGUUUAUACGCUAUUCUGAGCCAUGU